rnacentral:rRNA from 1 species
CACGUAGGGUGCGAGCGUUGUCCGGAAUUAUUGGGCCUAAAGAGCUCGUAGGCGGUCCGUCACGUCGGAUGUGAAAUUCCAGGGCUCAACCCUGGACCUGCAUUCGAUACGGGCGGACUAGAGUUCGGUAGGGGAGACUGGAAUUCCUGGUGUAGCGGUGAAAUGCGCAGAUAUCAGGAGGAACACCGGUGGCGAAGGCGGCAUCCUGGACCAAUUCUGACGCUGAGUGAGCGAAAGCCAGGGGAGCAAACGGG